UAUCAAAUUAGCAAAGAAUAAUGCAAUUGACUUAGGAUCAAUAGACAUAGGUGAAAUCCCUUUAUUUGAUAU
rnacentral:tRNA from 1 species